AUACUACGGAGAGUUUGAUCCUGGCUCAGGAUGAACGCUAGCGGCAGACUUAAUACAUGUGAGUCGAGGGGCAGCGGAUCCCUCCGGGGAUGCCGGCGACCGGCGAACGGGUGAGUAACACGUAUGGAACCUACCCUUAACUGGGGAAUAGCCUUGAGAAAUCGAGGGUAAUACCCCAUACCAUCUGAAAGAGGCAUCUCUUUCAGAUGAAAGCUCCGGCGGUUAAGGAUGGCCAUGCGGUCCAUUAGCUUGUUGGUGAGAUAACCGCUCACCAAGGCUACGAUGGAUAGCUGAUCUGAGAGGAUGAUCAGCCACAUUGGCACUGAGACACGGGCCAAACUCCUACGGGAGGCAGCAGUAGGGAAUCUUGGUCAAUUGGCGAAAGCCAGAACCAGUCAUGCCGCGUGCAGGAUGAAGGCCCUACGGGUCGUAAACUGCUUUUAUUCGGGAAGAAAAAGUCUGUUUCCACAGACCUUGACGGUACCGAUUGAAUAAGGACCGGCCAACUCCGUGCCAGCAGCCGCGGUAAUACGGAGGGUCCAAGCGUUAUCCGGAUUCACUGGGUUUAAAGGGUGCGCAGGCGGCUAAGUAAGUCAGUGGUGAAAGCCUUCGGCUCAACCGGAGAAUUGCCAUUGAAACUACUUGGCUUGAGUGCAGCAGAGGUAGGCGGAAUGUAGCAUGUAGCGGUGAAAUGCAUAGAUAUGCUACAGAACACCGAUAGCGAAAGCAGCUUACCACACUGUAACUGACGCUGAGGCACGAAAGCAUGGGUAGCAAACAGGAUUAGAUACCCUGGUAGUCCAUGCCGUAAACUUUGAACACUCGGAGUUUGCCACCUAGUGGUAAGCUCCCUAGCGAAAGCGUUAAGUGUUCCACCUGGGAGUACGGCCGCAAGGCUAAAA
rnacentral:rRNA from 1 species